CCUUUUAUUUUCCCCAAAUCAUCCCUAUAUUGGUAAUGUUAGGUAACUAACUAUGGCAAUAAACGGUAUAAAGAAUAAGCGUAGUGGACCCGGGGGCAGUACCCGGCGUCUCCACCAUGAGGGGACGAAACAGGAUCGACACGCGUGGUAAAAUUAUAUUUUUUGCUCGGUAUUGUACCACCGUUAUCGGGCUAUUUAUACAAACGCCAACGAUAAUUUCGAGGCACACGCUGUCGCGGCCUAAUAAGCCAAUGUGACAAGCGCGGCUUGGGGGGCGCCGGGCAACAGAAGCCCCUCA
rnacentral:tmRNA from 1 species